rnacentral:lncRNA from 1 species
UUUUUUCAGGUGCUUCUCAGCCAUUCGGUAUUCCUCAGUUGAGAAUUCUUUUCUGUAGUCCACCUUCUUGAGUUCUUUAUAUAUAUAUAUAUAUAUAUAUAUAUAUUGGAUAUUAGUCCCCUACCUGAUUUAGGAUUGUUAAAGAUCCUUUCCCAAUCUGUUGGUGGCCUUUUUGUCUUAUUAACAGUGUCUUUUGCCUUAUAGCUUUGCAAAAAAAUAGAAAUUUUUAAUGGAGAACUCGGGUUUGUUUUGUUUUUAAUGAGAGGACAUUGAGAUGGCUUAGCAGGCAAAGGCACUUUGCUGUGGAGCCUGAUGACUGGAGUACCUCCAGGACCUGCAGAACAGAACUGACUCCCAGUAACUGUCUUCUUAUCUCCAUACUCAUGCCAUGAUGUAAAGUGGCAGGACAAAAAGAAAAGAGAAUACAGGCUAGACACAGCUGACCAGGUGUUGGUAAUUACACAAAUGGGCUGGUCAGUUGUAAGGACAGCUUGUGAGCACCUGUGUGCAGCACAUUCUGGGUCUUAUUCAGAGGCAGAGAAGGUGCCCUGACCUGCAAGCAACCAAUGAACCUGUGUGCUCCAGGCCCACCAGUGAAUGAGAAAUGGAGUUUGUAGGUGAUAUACCAGCUGCCAGCAGAUGAGCAUGUAAUGGUCACCUGUCAGUGCUGCGCCCCUCUAACAUGAGUCUCCUAACAGAGCCCAGGGCCUCAGCUAUGCUAGUUCAGUGUACUGCCAUUAAGGCCCUAGAUUUUCAGAAAAGAUCUGUGGAUGAUGGCCGUGAAUGAGCUCCCUCUCCUACCUCAAAUGACACUAGCCACUACUCUUUAAUGGCCUCCUCAUCUACUAAAUUGCUUGUCUUUCCUAGGCAUCAGAGUCCUUAUACAGAUGACCAUAAGCCACUUGGCUUUGAGUCCUGGAAACAAGACAGAUCUGACUUGAUAUGGGGUAUCAUUCAAAUGAAAAUGGUGAAAUGGUAUUUUGGGCAUAUUGGGAGGGAAAAAUUAAAUUUAGAAGCCUUUUCAACAUGAUUACUAAAAAUCUUAGCAUUGCACAUAUAGCUCUAACUGCAUUUUGUUGCAUAGUGGCAUAGUGUAAGUAACCUCAAAGCAACUGUAGUAUAGCAAAAGGCUUGUAAAAGUACGCCAUGUGCUGCUUUGCAAUUCUUUCCCAGGCUUUUCUCAUAUGAUUCCCUUAACAGCAAAUCUUUUUCUGCUUGCUCAAGAAACUAAAUCUUUAUAGCCUAAUUGAAAUCAGGGAAUGAUUCUCUUCCCCAACCCAUGUGAAAGACUGGCUUCUGGACCUAGCAAACACUGUGACUGCACUAUUACCACCCACCUGAGCAUUUCUGCUGUGUACUUGUUCUUAAAAACUCAAACUGGAGCUAAAGCAGAGCACAGGGCUGGAAGCUGGUAAUACAGAGCCAUGGUGUCCAGGGUCUAGGGCCUCACACCUAAGCUGGACACCCAAUGUGAAAAUGUGAUCUCCUCCCUAUGGAGCAUCCUUGGCUAGCUCCCUUCUGUGUGUAUCUUAAGCUGGGCAGCAAAUGAAGAGAGUGGGUGUCACAUGUGAGUACCUGGUCAGAAGAACCUGGUCACAGGAUUUUCUCUCUAUCUGGAAAAGAUGGGUCCAGGAAGGCAACACUAAGAACAAACAAGGCUGGGUGAGCUGAUCUGGCAAAGUGUCUGUGAAAUACGAAACUCAUGUCUGAUUAGAGAGUGCUUUUGUGUGCCUGUCAUGCCCACCUUCCAUGAAUACUGACUGGUAUAAUAGUAAAUACUGUGAAAUUUCAUUUUCUAAACAUACUGAUUACAAGAUGCUGUGUGAAGUGGUACCAUCCUGUUAAGUCAUAAGUUUAUAUUUGAACAUCUGUCCAGAGGUAAUUGUGAAGGAUUCCCUACAAUUAUGUUGUAAGUAACUAAGACCACAAUUACUAUGAUAUUUAAGCACAGACCAAUAACGUACAUUUUAAAUAAAUGUUCUAAUUAAAAAUAAGUCAUGAAAGCUUACC